CGUCAUAUAGCUUAAUUAAAGCAUCUAGCUUACACCUAGAAAAUAUUUGUGAAACUCAAAUUGUAACGA
rnacentral:tRNA from 1 species